UGUCCAGACUCCUACGGGAGGCAGCAGUAGGGAAUCUUUCACAAUGGGCGAAAGCCUGAUGGAGCAACGCCGCGUGCAGGAUGAAGGCCUUCGGGUUGUAAACUGCUUUUAUAAGCGAGAAAUAUGAUGGUAACUUAUGAAUAAGGAUCGGCUAACUACGUGCCAGCAGCCGCGGUAAUACGUAGGGUGCGAGCGUUAAUCGGAAUUACUGGGCGUAAAGGGUGUGCAGGCGGCUGAGUAAGACAGAUGUGAAAUCCCCGGGCUUAACCUGGGAACCGCAUAUGUGACUGCUUGGCUAGAGUGCGUCAGAGGGAGGUGGAAUUCCACGUGUAGCAGUGAAAUGCGUAGAUAUGUGGAAGAACACCGAUGGCGAAGGCAGCCUCCUGGGACGCAACUGACGCUCAUACACGAAAGCGUGGGGAGCAAACAGGAUUAGAUACCCGCGUAAG
rnacentral:rRNA from 1 species